GACGAACGCUGGCGGCGUGCUUAACACAUGCAAGUCGAACGGAAAGGCCCUGCUUUUGUGGGGUGCUCGAGUGGCGAACGGGUGAGUAACACGUGAGUAACCUGCCCUUGACUUUGGGAUAACUUUAGGAAACUGGGGCUAAUACCGGAUAGGAGCUCCUGCUGCAUGGUGUGGUUUGGAAAUUUUUGUCGGGGGGGGUUGAGCUCGCGGCUUAUCAGCUUGUUGGUGGGGUAAUGGCUUACCAAGACGGGGCAGGGUAGCCGGCCUGAGAGGGUGACCGGUCACAGUGGGACUGAGAUACGGCGCAGACUCCUACGGGAGGCAGCAGUGGGGAAUAUUGCACAAUGGGGGAAACACUGAUGCAGCGAGGCCGCGUGGGGGAGGAAGGCCUUCGGGUUGGAAACACCUUUCGAUAGGGACGAAGCGUUUUGUGACGGUACCUGGAGAAGAAGCACCGGCUAACUACGUG
rnacentral:rRNA from 1 species